AUUGAACGCUGGCGGCAUGCCUUACACAUGCAAGUCGAACGGUAACAGGUCUUCGGAUGCUGACGAGUGGCGAACGGGUGAGUAAUGCAUCGGAACGUGCCCAGUAGUGGGGGAUAGCCCGGCGAAAGCCGGAUUAAUACCGCAUACGACCUGAGGGUGGAAGGGGGGGAUCGCAAGACCUCUCGCUAUUGGAGCGGCCGAUGUCAGAUUAGCUAGUUGGUGGGGUAAAGGCCUACCAAGGCAACGAUCUGUAGUUGGUCUGAGAGGACGACCAGCCACACUGGGACUGAGACACGGCCCAGCCUGCUACGGGAGGCAGCAGUGGGGAAUUUUGGACAGUGGGCGCAAGCCUGAUCCAGCAAUGCCGCGUGCAGGAAGAAGGCCUUCGGGUUGUAAACUGCUUUUGUCAGGGAAGAAAUCUUCUGGGUUAAUACCUCGGGAGGAUGACGGUACCUGAGGAAUAAGCACCGGCUAACUACGUGCCAGCCGCCGCCGUAAUAC
rnacentral:rRNA from 1 species